UAGGGGGCAAGCGUUAUCCGGAUUUACUGGGUGUAAAUGGAGCGUAGACGGCAUAGCAAGUCUGAUGUGAAAGGUCGGGGCUCAACCCCGGGACUGCAUUGGAAACUGUUAAGCUGGAGUGCAGGAGAGGUAAGUGGAAUUCCUAGUGUAGCGGUGAAAUGCGUAGAUAUUAGGAGGAACACCAGUGGCGAAGGCGGCUUACUGGACUGUAACUGACGUUGAGGCUCGAAAGCGUGGGGAGCAAA
rnacentral:rRNA from 1 species